AGCCCAGCUGAGGAGGCGGGGACCGCACACGACGGGCGCGCCGCCCGAUUGGCCGAGCGCCACGGAACCUGCUCGGCCCUCUGAUUGGUUCGAGCGGCGACGCGCCCUCUCGGAUGCCUCGCUCGGAUUGGCCUGUUUCUCGGCGCAGACCUGGACGGUGGCCAGAGUUGGACAAGAGGCUCCUGUGCGGGAUGGAGGGACGGACUUAGGCGGACUUCUGAGCUGCGCUUCUACCGGCGGCUGGGAUCCAGGGGUAUGGCGGCCGCCUAGGUGAUGUCCGUGCUCCUGGUGGCGACUGAGCGGACCCGGCGGCAGCGUGUCCCGAGCCCGCCGCCGCUGCUGCUGCCGCUGCGGCCGAGGUCCAAAAGGUAACUGGCUCUCGAAUACUGUCUGGGGAAAACUUGUCAUGUCUGCUAUGUGGAAUUGGUGUUCAAAAAUGAAAUGCAAAAAUGCAGACUAUCCCAGCACAUACUGGUUAUUGGUACUCCAGGGAGAACAGGAGACUUUAGAGGAUAUCUUUGUUGCGCUGCUUUCUACCUGAUGCCAGUCCAUCUGUUGCAAGUCAUCAGUUCAUGAGAUCCAUUUCAAAUUCUGCUGAAGAAGGAAGAAUUAACCCUUAAAAGGUUCAACAUUUUAUAAUAGUUUUGAAAGAGGGUAAUGUUAUUCUAAUUAACAUAUUUAAGAAUUAUAGCCAGGAUUUUAAAAAUAUAUUUGU